AUGACUCUAUGUUUCCUAGUGACGGAGUCCAGUGUGGUGUCCGCAGAAGUGGCCCUAGCUCUUUGUGAGCAAACAGGAGUAGGACCUCCCAGGAAAGGACGUUUCAAGUUUCUUGCAGCAGAGCUUCCUAGCGAGAAGUCCACAGAGGAAGUCGUGGCCGUUGUCAAUAGGGACUCAGCGCUUUGGGCAAGCGGUCCCAUGGAGGGUCCCGUGGAAAAAUUCAUCUAUGAAUCAGAUGAGGAGGCCCCACGACAGUGGCAGGUCAGGCCACCUGCUGUUGUCACAGAAAAAGUUAGUUUCUUAGCCUUAUCUUCUUAAAUUAAAAUAAGAUAUGAUAACCUGGCCGUAUAUAUCAUUGGUGACUUACACAGUGUCCUUGGUGGGGGGAAUUCUGAGUGAGUCUGUUCCCCACUAAGGUUUGAUUUAAGACGGCGGGAGAAAAUGACAGCAUCAGCCACGCACUGAGCGGCAGUGAGCUUUCUCCUCAGCAGCUUGAUUUUCUCCUUGGGGCAAAAUCACUUAAUUGCCAAGGAACAUGACCUUGAGAGGAAACAUCCUCCAGGAGAAACUUUAGGCCGGGCGCGGUGGCUCCCGCCUGUAAUCCCAGCACUUUGGGAGGCUGAGACGGGCGGAUCAUGAGGUCAGGAGAUCGAGACCAUCCUGGCUAACAGGGUGAAACCUCGUCUCUACUAAAAAUACAAAAAAUUAGCCGGGCAUGGUGGUGGGCGCCUGUAGUCCCAGCUACUCGGGAGGCUGAGACAGGAGAAUUGCUUGAAUCCGGGAAUUGGAGGUUGUGGAGAGCAGAGAUCAUGCCACCACACUCCAGCCUGGGCUACAGAGGAAGACUCCGUCUAAAAAAACAAAAACAAACAAACAAAAAAACCAAAACCCCCCUGAAACUUUAGCAUGAGUCCAUUUUUCCUGUCCUUUUGGGUUCCCUUGACUUGAUCACUGUUUUCCAUCUGCUUUUCUACUGCCACCAAGUGAAGAACAGACCUAUGCCCACGGGACUCGGAUGGUCUGAAACUCACAGUGUUUUUCUCUCUCUCAAUGCAGGCCGGCGGACUGCCUGAAGAAAAAGGUGUGUGUUCUGGAAUCACUCCUUUGCUAAGAAAAGAUCGUCAGGGUUGCAAAAGGUGGCACUUGCUCGCCUGCUUUUGCUGGAGAGCCACUUUGGUUUGAGCUUCCUGAGAGAAAUGAGGUUUGGACAGUUUGGUAUAAAAAAC
rnacentral:lncRNA from 10 species